UACGUAGGGUCCGAGCGUUGUCCGGAAUUAUUGGGCGUAAAGGGCUCGUAGGCGGUUUGUCGCGUCGGGAGUGAAAACACGGGGCUUAACCCCGUGCCUGCUUCCGAUACGGGCAGACUAGAGGUAUGCAGGGGAGAACGGAAUUCCUGGUGUAGCGGUGAAAUGCGCAGAUAUCAGGAGGAACACCGGUGGCGAAGGCGGUUCUCUGGGCAUUACCUGACGCUGAGGAGCGAAGGCCAGGGGAGCAAACGGGG
rnacentral:rRNA from 1 species